GAUGAACGCUGGCGGCGUGCUUAACACAUGCAAGUCGAACGGGAUCCCAGGAGCUUGCUCCUGGGUGAGAGUGGCGAACGGGUGAGUAAUGCGUGACCGACCUGCCCCAUACACCGGAAUAGCUCCUGGAAACGGGUGGUAAUGCCGGAUGCUCCAGUUGGAUGCAUGUCCUUCUGGGAAAGAUUCAUCGGUAUGGGAUGGGGUCGCGUCCUAUCAGCUUGAUGGCGGGGUAACGGCCCACCAUGGCUUCGACGGGUAGCCGGCCUGAGAGGGCGACCGGCCACAUUGGGACUGAGAUACGGCCCAGACUCCUACGGGAGGCAGCAGUGGGGAAUAUUGCACAAUGGGCGCAAGCCUGAUGCAGCGACGCCGCGUGCGGGAUGACGGCCUUCGGGUUGUAAACCGCUUUUGACUGGGAGCAAGCCCUUCGGGGUGAGUGUACCUUUCGAAUAAGCACCGGCUA
rnacentral:rRNA from 1 species